rnacentral:rRNA from 1 species
ACCUUCGGGUGUGUAUAGAGUGGCGAACGGGUGAGUAACACGUGACCAACCUGCCUCUUACAUUGGGACAACCAAAAGAAAUUCUGGCUAAUACCAAAUACUCCGCACAUAUCACAUGAUGUAUGCGGGGAAGCUUUUGCGGUAAGAGAUGGGGUCGCGGCCCAUUAGGUAGACGGCGGGGUAGAGGCCCACCGUGCCGAUGAUGGGUAGCCGGGUUGAGAGACCGACCGGCCACAUUGGGACUGAGAUACGGCCCAGACUCCUACGGGAGGCAGCAGUGGGGAAUAUUGCGCAAUGGGGGAAACCCUGACGCAGCAACGCCGCGUGCGGGAUGAAGGCCUUCGGGUUGUAAACCGCUUUCAGCAGGGAAGACAUCGACGGUACCUGCAGAAGAAGCCCCGGCUAACUACGUGCCAGCAGCCGCGGUAAUACGUAGGGGGCGAGCGUUAUCCGGAUUCAUUGGGCGUAAAGCGCGCGCAGGCGGUUGCUCAAGCGGAACCUCUAAUCUCGGGGCUUAACCUCGAGCCGGGUUCCGAACUGGACGACUCGAGUGCGGUAGAGGCAGAUGGAAUUCCCGGUGUAGCGGUGGAAUGCGCAGAUAUCGGGAAGAACACCAACGGCGAAGGCAGUCCGCUGGGCCGUCACUGACGCUGAGGCGCGAAAGCUGGGGGAGCGAACAGGAUUAGAUACCCUGGUAGUCCCAGCCGUAAACGAUGAGCGCUGGGUGUGGGAGAUUACAUCUUCCGUGCCGAAGCUAACGCAUUAAGCGCUCCGCCUGGGGAGUACGGCCGCAAGGCUAAAACUCAAAGGAAUUGACGGGGGCCCG